rnacentral:rRNA from 1 species
CAGCCGCCACGGUAAUACGUAGGUGGCAAGCGUUAAUCGGAAUUACUGGGCGUAAAGCGGGCGCAGACGGUUACUUAAGCAGGAUGUGAAAUCCCCGGGCUCAACCUGGGAACUGCGUUCUGAACUGGGUGACUAGAGUGUGUCAGAGGGAGGUAGAAUUCCACGUGUAGCAGUGAAAUGCGUAGAGAUGUGGAGGAAUACCGAUGGCGAAGGCAGCCUCCUGGGAUAACACUGACGUCCAUGCCCGAAAGCGUGGGUAGCAAACAGGAUUAGAGACCCCUGUAGUCCCUGUCUCUUAUAC